GCCUUUAUGCUUCAUAACUUUCUCUUAUUCCUUAGUUCUUUUUCCUUUUAGCCUUUCCUUUUUUAUGUCCCUCUCUCAUUUUUUCUCUUUUUUUUAGUUUUCUCCCAACCCUUUUCUCUUUAACAAACUAGCUCCAUUUUUUCUGUUAUUAUUUUUUUUGAAACCUCUUAUCAUUUUUUUUAGCUAGAAAACUUUUUGUACUUUUUUCUUUUUUUUAAUUGAAGACAUUUCCAUCUGCUUCC
rnacentral:lncRNA from 1 species